UUUCCGUAGGUGAACCUGCGGAAGGAUCAUUAUUGUAUAACCGAGGUGCGAGGGCUGUCGCUGACCCGAAAGGUCGUGCACGCCCGAGUGCCCUCACACACAUCCAUCUCGCCCCUUUGUGCACCACCGCGUGGGUCCACCUUUGGCUUGUUCGGAGGGGGGCUUACGUUUUCACACAAACUUUGUAUGCAGUGUAGAAUGUAUUUUUUGUUUUUGCGUUCACGCAAUCAAUACAACUUUCAACAACGGAUCUCUUGGCUCUC
rnacentral:misc_RNA from 1 species